AAUUAAUGUUCAGGGGUCAUGGCUUGGAGAUAGAAGCUGUUUAGAAGCUUCUUGGACCUAGACUUGACGCUCCGGUACCACUUGCAGUGCGGUAGCAGAGAGAACAGUCUGACUAGAGUGGCUGAAGUCCUUGACAAUUUUUAGGGCCUUUCUCUGACACUGCCUGGUAUAGAGGUCCUGGAUGGCAGGAAGCUUGGCCCCAGUGAUGCAAUGGGCCAUUCGCACUACCCUCUGUAGUGCUUUGCGGUUGGAGGUUCGAGCAGUAUCUAUACCAGGCAGUGAUGUGUACCAGUCAGGAUGCUCUCGAUGGUGCAUCUGUAGAACCUUUUGAGGAUCUGAGGACCCAUGCCAAAUCUUUUCAGUCUCCUGAGGGGGAAUAGGUUUUGUCGUGCCCUCUUCACGACUGUCUUGGUGUGCUUGGACCAUGUUAGUUUGUUGGUGAUGUGGACACCAAAGAACGUGAAGCUCUCAACCUGCUCUACUGCUGCCCCGUCACUGAGAAUGAGGGUGUGCUCGGUCCACUUUUUCCUGUUAUCUACAAUCAUCUCCUUUGUCUUGAUCACGUUGAGGGAGAGGAUGUUGGCCUGGCACCACACGGCCAGGUCUCUGACCUCCUCCCUAUAGGCUGUCUCGUCGUUGUCGGUGAUCAGGCCUACCACUGUUGUGUCAUCGGCAAACUUAAUGAUGGUAUUUGAGUCGUGCCUGGCCGUGCAGUCAUGAGUGAACAGGGAGUACAGAAGAGGACUGAGCACGAACCCCUGAGGGGCCCCCGUGUUGAGGAUCAACGUGGUGGAUGUGUUGUUACCUACCCUUACCCCAUGGGGGUGGCCUUCAGGAAGUCCAGGAUCCAGUUGCAGAGGGAGGUGUUUAGUCCCAGAGUCCUUAGCUUAUUGAUGAGCUUUCAGGGCACUAAGGUGUUGAAUGCUGAGCUGUGGUAAAUGUAUAGAAUUUUCACAUAGGUGUUCCUUUUGUCCAGGUGGGAAAGGGCAGUGUGGAGUGCAAUAGAGAUUAGAGCUUGACCAAUUAAUCUGCAUGGCAGAUUGAUUCGGGCCGAUUUCAAGUUUUCAUAACAAUCGGUAAUCUGCUUUUUUUGGACGACGAUUACAUUGCAAUCCACGAGCAGAUUGCGUGGCAGGCUGGAGUGUACUGUGGCUGGAGUGUACUGUGUAACAUCCAGAUUGGGAUUUGCUAGAGUGUACUGUGUUUAUGACAGGUUGCAAUUGGCGUUGGGAUUGGCUGAAGUGUACUGUGUUACUGACGGGUUGGGAUUGGCUGAAGUGUACUGUGUUACUGACGGGUUGGGAUUGGCUGAAGUGUACUGUGUUACUGACGGGUUGGGAUUGGCUGAAGUGUACUGUGUUACUGACGGGUUGGGAUUGGCUGAAGUGUACUGUGUUACUGACGGGUUGGGAUUGGCUGAAGUGUACUGUGUUACUGACUGGUUUGGAUUGGCUGGAGGGAUCACUGACAGGGUAUUGUUGGCUGGAGUGUACUGUGUCACUGACAGGUUGGGAUUGGCUGGAGUGUACUGUGUCACUGACAAGUUGUGAUUGGCUGGAAUGUACUGUGUCACUGACAGGUUGGGAUUGGCUGGAGUGUACUGUGUUAAUGACGUUUUGGGAUACCUGGAGUGUACUGUGUCACUGACAGGUUGUGAUUGGCUGGAGUGUACUGUGUUAAUGACGUUUUGGGAUACCUGGAGUGUACUGUGUCCCUGACAGGUUGUGAUUGGCUGGAGUCUACUGUGUCCCUGACAGGUUGUGAUUGCCUGGAGUCUACUGUGUUACUGACAGGUUGUGAUUGCCUGGAGUCUACUGUGUCACUGACAGGUUGUGAUUGCCUGGAGUCUACUGUGUUACUGACAGGUUGUGAUUGGCUGGAGUCUACUGUGUCACUGACAGGUUGUGAUUGCCUGGAGUCUACUGUGUUACUGACAGGUUGUGAUUGCCUGGAGUCUACUGUGUCACUGACAGGUUGGGAUUGGCUGGAGUCUACUGUGUUACUGACAGGUUGUGAUUGGCUGGAGUCUACUGUGUUACUGACAGGUUGUGAUUGCCUGGAGUCUACUGUGUCACUGACAGGUUGAUUGGCUGGAGUGUACUGUGUCACUGACAGGUUGUGAUUGGCUGGAGUGUACUGUGUUAAUGACAGGUUGUGAUUGGCUGGAGUCUACUGUGUCACUGACAGGUUGUGAUUGGCUGGAGUCUACUGUUUUACUGACAGGUUGUGAUUGCCUGGAGUCUACUGUGUCACUGACAGGUUGUGAUUGGCUGGAGUGUACUGUGUUAAUGACAGGUUGUGAUUGGCUGGAGUCUACUGUGUCACUGACAGGUUGUGAUUGGCUGGAGACUACUGUGUCACUGACAGGUUGUGAUUGCCUGGAGUCUACUGUGUCACUGACAGGUUGUGAUUGCCUGGAGUCUACUGUGUUACUGACAGGUUGUGAUUGGCUGGAGUCUACUGUGUUACUGACAGGUUGUGAUUGCCUGG